rnacentral:rRNA from 1 species
UUCGCAAUGCCCGAAAGGGUGACGAAGCGACGCCGCGUGUGGGAAGAAGGCCUUCGGGUUGUAAACCACUGUCGGGAGUUAGGAAGUGCAGGAGCGUUAAUAGCGUUCUUGCUUGACUAAGGCUCCAGAGGAAGCCACGGCUAACUCUGUGCCAGCAGCCGCGGUAAUACAGAGGCGGCAAGCGUUGUUCGGAAUUAUUGGGCGUAAAGAGCACGUAGGCGGCCUUGCAAGUCAGUUGUGAAAGCCUUCCGCUCAACGGAAGAAUGCCAGCUGAUACUACAGGGCUUGAGUACGGGAGGGGAGAGUGGAACUUCUGGUGGAGCGGUGAAAUGCGUAGAUAUCAGAAGGAACGUCGGCGGCGAAAGCGACUCUCUGGCCUAUUACUGACACUGAGUGUGCGAAAGCUAGGGGAGCAAACGGGAUUAGAUACCCCGGUAGUCCUAGCCGUAAACGAUGGGCACUAAGUAGAGGGGUUUU